rnacentral:snoRNA from 1 species
AAACUAUGGUGAGGACAUUUUCUCAGCAAAUCUUUAAAUCUUUCUCAAGCUUCAUAUAAGCUUUCUUGAUCAUGAUGAACGAAAGUUGAUAAGUAUAAAUUUUAUAGUGU